CGCAUACUUGAUGGAACUAAAAAGCAUGUUCCUCACGUGUGUUAUUGUUUGUUUUGUAGGCCUGUCUAAUCUUUGGCUGAAAGGUGGACUUCAGGAGUGGCUUCAGUUCUGAUUUAGCAGGGUGUCCGGGUGCCAUAGUCUUGGAGAGGAUUUGCUUUUUGAUAAACAUUCACAAAGGAAAAUCAGAAUAAAUUUAAAGGACUGAUAGGAAAGUGUGGAGCUGAAACGCUUUAUCCAAAGAAAUGGCAAAGUUCUCUAGCCAGAGAGUAAGAAUCUGGACAGUGGCAAACUCUACAGUGAAAACCUUUGAAAAUGGAUACAGAUACUCUAGACACCCAGUCAAGGACUGAGGAAGGCUCUUGGAAAUCCAUGCCAUCAUUAGGAAAAAAUGCAUUUAUAUUCAUCAAAUGGUGGACAUGUAAUACCUGCUUUGCAUGGAAUAAAAUUCUACAAAUAAAGAAAAAUGAAGAAUAGUUUUGGCUUGUCCAGUGUCACAUGACCAGUCAGGAAAAGAGCCAGGACUUCCAACUCCCUGACCAAGUGAUAUGCUUCCACUGAAUCACACUGCUUUGCUCAGUGAUUGGCAUACGAUACAGGCUUACCCACUGAGCAACAUGACAUAAUGGAGGACAGAAGAACAGCCUAGACUUCAAGGACUGAAGACCAGAGUUGGGCAUAAGGAACUGGUACUCAGGGAAGAACCCAGCAGAAUCAUGUAUGAUCUGAAAAGUAGGCCCUAGCAGUGUGGUGGAAGGCCAGGAGCUGCAGAGAGGGACACAAGCAGCCCUAGACCUUUCUGAUGUGAUUUGGCAGGUUUCCAAAGUUGUCCUUGUGCUGAGAACUUCCUAGACCCAAAUAAAGAGCCGUAACAUGGCUCAAGGGCUAUAACACUGAAGACCAAGAGAGAUGGCUGUGGUGGGUGAGUCAGCCCACUGAGCAGGCAGCAAUGGAGGCAGUAACUGUGAUGGUACCUGAAGAAGCAGAGACAGCCGCAGAUGCAGACGGUGGCUGAGAGCUGAGAGAAGCUGAGAGAAGCAAUCAA